rnacentral:rRNA from 1 species
UGAGGAAUAUUGGUCAAUGGGCGGAAGCCUGAACCAGCCAAGUCGCGUGAGGGAAGACGGUCCUAUGGAUUGUAAACCUCUUUUGUCGGGGAGCAAGGCCACUCACGAGUGAGUGGAAGGAGAGUACCCGAAGAAAAAGCAUCGGCUAACUCCGUGCCAGCAGCCGCGGUAAUACGGAGGAUGCGAGCGUUAUCCGGAUUUAUUGGGUUUAAAGGGUGCGUAGGCGGACUGUUAAGUCAGCGGUCAAAUGUCGGUGCUCAACGCCGGCCUGCCGUUGAAACUGGCGGUCUUGAGUGAGCGAGAAGUAUGCGGAAUGCGUGGUGUAGCGGUGAAAUGCAUAGAUAUCACGCAGAACUCCGAUUGCGAAGGCAGCAUACCGGCGCUCAACUGGCGCUGAGGCACGAAAGCGUGGGGAUCGAACAGGAUUAGAUACC